rnacentral:rRNA from 1 species
GGCGUGCUAUACAUGCAGUCGAGCGGACAGAUGGGAGCUUGCUCCCUGAUGUUAGCGGCGGACGGGUGAGUAACACGUGGGUAACCUGCCUGUAAGACUGGGAUAACUCCGGGAAACCGGGGCUAAUACCGGAUGGUUGUCUGAACCGCAUGGUUCAGACAUAAAAGGUGGCUUCGGCUACCACUUACAGAUGGACCCGCGGCGCAUUAGCUAAUUGGUGAGGUAACGGCUCACCAAGGCGACGAUGCAUAGCCGACCUGAGAGGGUGAUCGGCCACACUGGGACUGAGACACGGCCCAAACUCCUACGGGAGGCAGCAGUAGGGAAUCUUCCGCAAUGGACGAAAGUCUGACGGAGCAACGCCGCGGGAGUGAUGAAGGUUUUCGGAUCGUAAAGCUCUGUUGGUAGGGAAGAACAAGUGCCGUUCAAAUAGGGCGGCACCUUGACGGUACCUAACCAAAAAGCCACGGCUAACUACGUGCCAGCAGCCGCGGGAAUACGUAGGUGGCAAGCGUUGUCCGGAAUUAUUGGGCGUAAGGGGCUCGCAGGCGGAUUCUUAAGUCUGAUGUGAAAGCCCCCGGCUCAACCGGGGAGUGUCAUUGUAAACUGUGGAACUUGAGUGCAGAAGAGGAGAGUGGAAUUCCACGUGUAGCGGUGAAAUGCGUAGAGA